CCUCUUUAACUCUGUUGUGAACGUGGGCUGUGGGCCGGCCGAGGAGCGGGUUCUCCUAACGGGUUUACAUGCCGUCGCUGACAUCUACUGUGAAAACUGUAAAACCACUCUGGGCUGGAAAUACGAGCAUGCGUUUGAGAGCAGUCAGAAGUACAAGGAGGGGAAGUUCAUCAUCGAGCUGGCUCACAUGAUCAAGGACAACGGUUGGGAGUGACACCCCUUUCUGUCUCCGGCCUUUUAAUGACCUCUGACCUAUCAGAGCUCUGGAUCUAUCAGACUUCACAGAGCGACAACCAAUCACCAUCAACCACCCACCGUGCCGCCCCCUCCUAACACACACACAAACACACACACAGACACACAACCACC